rnacentral:lncRNA from 1 species
CUGGAGUGCAGUGGCACGAUCUCAGCUCACUGCAACCUCCGCCUCAUGGGCUCAAGCGAUUCUGCCUCAGCCUCCCGAGUAGCUGGGAUUACAGGCAUGCACCACCACGCCCAGCUAUUUUUUUGUAUUUUUAGUAGAGACGGGGUUUCACCAUGUUGACUAGGCUGGUCUUGGACUCCUGACCUCAGGUGAUCCACCUGCCUCGGCCUCCCAAAGUGCUGGGAUUACAGGCAUGAGACACCAUGCCUGGCCAUGUCUUAUAUUUUUUAACUCACUUCUUCUCAAAUAAACAUCAACCAGAAUUAAAAACUAUUGCUAUGACACACUUGUUUUAAAAAUAUCUUAAGUAACUUAUAAUUUGGGAAAAUUCUAAUUGUUUCCAAGUAACAAGUGAGAACUCUUGGUUUACUGCUUGAAAAAGUCUCUAGUAAAUUUUUCUAUCAGGAAGAAAUUCC